rfam:Triticum aestivum genome assembly, contig: Triticum_aestivum_CS42_TGACv1_scaffold_435777_5DL
UAUAUACUUCCUCCGUCUCAAAUUUUUUGUCUUAAAAUUUGUCUAAAUACGAAUGUAUCAAGUCACGUUUAGUAUUAGAUACAUCCGUAUUUAAACAAAUCUAAGACAAGAAUUUUGGAACGGAGGAAGUAUUAA